rnacentral:rRNA from 1 species
GUAUCAGAAGUGCGAAUGCUGACAUAAGUAACGAUAAAGCGGGUGAAAAGCCCGCUCGCCGGAAGACCAAGGGUUCCUGUCCAACGUUAAUCGGGGCAGGGUGAGUCGACCCCUAAGGCGAGGCCGAAAGGCGUAGUCGAUGGGAAACAGGUUAAUAUUCCUGUACUUGGUGUUACUGCGAAGGGGGGACGGAGAAGGCUAUGUUGGCCGGGCGACGGUUGUCCCGGUUUAAGCGUGUAGGCUGGUUUUCCAGGCAAAUCCGGAAAAUCAAGGCUGAGGCGUGAUGACGAGGCACUACGGUGCUGAAGCAACAAAUGCCCUGCUUCCAGGAAAAGCCUCUAAGCAUCAGGUAACAUCAAAUCGUACCCCAAACCGACACAGGUGGUCAGGUAGAGAAUACCAAGGCGCUUGAGAGAACUCGGGUGAAGGAACUAGGCAAAAUGGUGCCGUAACUUCGGGAGAAGGCACGCUGAUAUGUAGGUGAAGUCCCUCGCGGAUGGAGCUGAAAUCAGUCGAAGAUACCAGCUGGCUGCAACUGUUUAUUAAAAACACAGCACUGUGCAAACACGAAAGUGGACGUAUACGGUGUGACGCCUGCCCGGUGCCGGAAGGUUAAUUGAUGGGGUCAGCGCAAGCGAAGCUCUUGAUCGAAGCCCCGGUAAACGGCGGCCGUAACUAUAACGGUCCUAAGGUAGCGAAAUUCCUUGUCGGGUAAGUUCCGACCUGCACGAAUGGCGUAAUGAUGGCCAGGCUGUCUCCACCCGAGACUCAGUGAAAUUGAACUCGCUGUGAAGAUGCAGUGUACCCGCGGCAAGACGGAAAGACCCCGUGAACCUUUACUAUAGCUUGACACUGAACAUUGAGCCUUGAUGUGUAGGAUAGGUGGGAGGCUUUGAAGUGUGGACGCCAGUCUGCAUGGAGCCGGCCUUGAAAUACCACCCUUUAAUGUUUGAUGUUCUAACGUUGACCCGUUAUCCGGGUUGCGGACAGUGUCUGGUGGGUAGUUUGACUGGGGCGGUCUCCUCCUAAAGAGUAACGGAGGAGCACGAAGGUUGGCUAAUCCUGGUCGGACAUCAGGAGGUUAGUGCAAUGGCAUAAGCCAGCUUGACUGCGAGCGUGACGGCGCGAGCAGGUGCGAAAGCAGGUCAUAGUGAUCCGGUGGUUCUG